rnacentral:rRNA from 11 species
CCUAAGGCGAGGCCGACAGGCGUAGUCGAUGGAUAACCAGUUGAUAUUCUGGUACCCGUAUAUCCGCGCCCAUGAUAAAGCACUGAUACUAACCACCGCGGAUACGAUCAGCCCACUUUUUGAGUGGGGUGUUUGUUGAUGUCGUGGGGCCUGAUGUGUGGUUCAAGUGAUGGGGUGACACAGUGUAGUAGCCAUGCCGCUUAGUGGAUUGUUGGUGUAAGCGUGUGAGGUGGUGUGUAGGCAAAUCCGCACACCGUGUACCUGAGGCGUGAUGCGUAGCCCAAGUGUGGGUGAAGUUGGUGAUCUAGUACUGUCGAGAAAAGCCUCUAGCGAUGUGGAUGUAUGGCCCGUACCCUAAACCGACACAGGUGGUCAGGUUGAAAAUACUAAGGCGUUCGGGUGAACUGUGGUUAAGGAACUCGGCAAAAUGCCCCCGUAACUUCGGGAGAAGGGGGGCCCUAGCGUUGAAGCCACUUGCUGGCUAGGCGCGACGGCCGCAGAGACCAGGGAGAAGCGACUGUUUACUAAAAACACAGGUCCAUGCGAAGUCGCAAGACGAUGUAUACGGACUGACGCCUGCCCGGUGCUGGAACGUUAAGGGGACCGGUUAGCCCGUAAGGGCGAAGCUGAGAACUUAAGCGCCAGUAAACGGCGGUGGUAACUAUAACCAUCCUAAGGUAGCGAAAUUCCUUGUCGGGUAAGUUCCGACCU